GAUGUUCAUCAGGAGAGGUCUGAGCAAUCAGACCCGGCAACCUGGGCGGAAGCCCCAAGGUGCCUCCCAAUCGAGCCUUCGGGUCUGAAAGGGGAUGUGGUCAGCAAUAACUGGCAACGAAACUUCCUGGA
rnacentral:ncRNA from 10 species